GAUGAACGCUGGCGGCGUGCCUAACACAUGCAAGUCGAACGGAGUAUUAUGAAGUCUUCGGACGGAUUAAUACUUAGUGGCGGACGGGUGAGUAACGCGUGGGUAACCUGCCUCAUACAGGGGGAUAACAGCCGGAAACGGCUGCUAAAACCGCAUAAGCAUACAGUGCCGCAUGGUACAGUGUGAAAAUAUUUAUAGGUAUGAGAUGGGGCCCGCGUCUGAUUAGCUAGUUGGUAAGGUAACGGCCUACCAAGGCAACGAUCAGUAGCCGGCUUGAGAGAGUGACCGGCCACAUUGGGACUGAGACACGGCCCAAACUCCUACGGGAGGCAG
rnacentral:rRNA from 1 species